UAAAGUGGCGCACGGGUGAGUAACGCGUGGGUAAUCUACCCUCAAAUUGGGGAUAACCCGCCGAAAGGCGGGCUAAUACCGAAUGACAUCUUGAAAACUUAUGUUUUCAGGAUCAAAGGUGGCCUCUACAUGUAAGCUAUUGUUUGGGGAUGAGCCCGCGUACCAUUAGCUUGUUGGUAGGGUAAUGGCCUACCAAGGCUACGAUGGUUAGCUGGUCUGAGAGGAUGAUCAGCCACACUGGAACUGACACACGGUCCAGACUCCUACGGGAGGCAGCAGUGAGGAAUUUUGCGCAAUGGGGGAAACCCUGACGCAGCAACGCCGCGUGAGUGAUGAAGGCUUUCGGGUCGUAAAGCUCUGUCAAGUGGGAAGAACCCAUAUGGUGUUAAUAUUACCAUAUGCUGACGGUACCACUGAAGGAAGCACCGGCUAACUCCGUGCCAGCAGCCGCGGUAAUACGGGGGGUGCGAGCGUUAUUCGGAAUUACUGGGCGUAAAGAGCGCGUAGGCGGUCUUUUAAGUCAGGUGUGAAAGCCCGGGGCUCAACCCCGGAAGUGCACUUGAAACUAAGAGACUUGAGUAUGGGAGAGGGAAGUGGAAUUCCUGGUGUAGCGGUGA
rnacentral:rRNA from 1 species